GGGCUUUUGGCACAGUUGGUAGCGCGCAUGCUUCGCAUUCGGGAGUGCAUGAGGUCGUGGGUUCAACUCCCACAGAGUCCA
rfam:Paxillus involutus ATCC 200175 unplaced genomic scaffold PAXINscaffold_11, whole genome shotgun sequence.